rnacentral:rRNA from 1 species
AUUGAACGCUGGCGGCAUGCUUUACACAUGCAAGUCGAACGGUAACAGGCCGCAAGGUGCUGACGAGUGGCGAACGGGUGAGUAAUGCAUCGGAACGUGCCCAGUCGUGGGGGAUAACUGCUCGAAAGAGCAGCUAAUACCGCAUACGAUCUAUGGAUGAAAGCGGGGGACCGUAAGGCCUCGCGCGAUUGGAGCGGCCGAUGACAGAUUAGGUAGUUGGUGGGGUAAAGGCUCACCAAGCCAACGAUCUGUAGCUGGUCUGAGAGGACGACCAGCCACACUGGGACUGAGACACGGCCCAGACUCCUACGGGAGGCAGCAGUGGGGAAUUUUGGACAAUGGGGGCAACCCUGAUCCAGCAAUGCCGCGUGCAGGAAGAAGGCCUUCGGGUUGCAAACUGCUUUUGUACGGAACGAAAAGCCCUGGGUUAAUACCCUGGGGUCAUGACGGUACCGUAAGAAUAAGCACCGGCUAACUACGUGCCAGCAGCCGCCGUAAUAC